UUUAGAUCACUUAUCUCUUUCCCUCCUCCUCCCCUCGCUUCGCAACAUCUCGGAUCUCCCCCCACCUCCCCUUCUUGAGCACUUGAGGAGGAAGAAGGGCUAUUUUUCAGGGACCUGCGGAAUCCGGUGCGACACUGGACACUGGAUCCUGGAUGAGGUCAAGGUCGCAGCCCUCAUACGCAAGAUUGUUGCCAUUUUCCUGUGGUUUAGCACAGGAAGGGAGGGAUGCUGGCCCAGACCCCGGAAGAGAGGUGUUCUGCAGACCAGGCCUCAGGAACAUCCACCUUGAGAACUGAUGUCACUGACGGAGUUUUGGUCCUCUUAGUUAAUUAAGGACAGAAUUUAAGAGGUUUGUCAACUGAGUAUCAAAUCAGUCACUAGCCUAAACAAAUUCCUGUAAUAUUAAACGUAUUAACCGACUAUAUAUGUUUGAAUAUGUCACAGUUGUUUGUUUGUAUGUAGGAUACAUUUGUAAGUGGAUUUUUAUUCAAUUCACUAAGUCAAAUAAAAUGUAUUGAGGCACCAUUGCCUCAUUGUCA